GUGGAGGUCCGCGACUGAGGGCAGCCGGCGGCGACCACAGCGGCCUCCUCACCGCUCUUCGUGGGGCGCGAGGAGCUCAACCUCGUCGGUGGUUUCGGGAUCCAUGGAGGCCGACAGGUGGCGACCGGGACGGCAGCCGCGAAGAUCCAUGGUUGGCUGGAUUGUGCGACCAGAAGGAGCCGCCGACGAGGACCCUCGUGCCUCUCAAGUAAGGACACAACCGUCCCCUCUCUUUCUUCAGCGAUUUUUGGCAGAUUCUUUUGUGGGCACGUGCCUCUCAAGUUUCAGGGUUCCUCAGACUGCCGGCCAGGGUUUGAGUGAAGGCCACACCGCGAGGCCAUGAACCAAGGUGGAGAUGUUCUGCAGUCACAGGCUUGCUCAUUGACAAGGAGGACGACAGUCGAUGGCAGUAGGAAAUAGCCAUGUACUGCAGCAAGGGCAUGAGGAGGAGCCGAACAACUACAUAGUCCUUUUUCAGCAUGACUAGAACAAUGCCUUAUUUUGUAAGCUCUUAAAGCUGGAUCUACUAGAUUAUCUACACAUUAAGCAGAACUCCAAUCCAUUCAUUUGUGUGCCACUUGGAAAUAUGGCUGGCGAUACUACACUUAUGGCAAUAGCUAGCAUAUACUCUGUCUUUUAGAUUUAACCUGAACUCUGAAGACCAUGCUAGAUAAUGUGGUAAUAUCACAGGAACUUUGUUGUGUUCUUUCAUGUCUGCUCCUUAUCUUUCUGCUUCCUUUGGCCGGCGAUGAACGGACCGUGUUGCCGUGACUGCCUAUCUGCGCCUUUGCUCGAAUAUUUGUUUUGCUAUUUAUACUAAGUUACUAACUUCAAGUGUUCAGUGAAUACAACAGUAUGGCUCUGAAGUUUCAGACCAAAGCUUGCAAAUUUGUGUUCACGUGGGUAUUGAGAAAAUUUACUGAAAAUUCUUUUAUUUUGGUUUAUCUUGCUGAAAGGGUUUACUUUUCUUUGGUUUAAUUUGGUUUUCAUUGUUCUGCAGAGGUGAAUUGUUGAGGUACUUGAGCUGGUCCUCAUGGUAAAAAUGGAAUGCGUCGAGAUUGGCAUAUACAUGAUGCUAUGACGGGCCAUAUGGUAUUGAAGACUACAAGGGGAGACCUGCUGAUAGCUACAUGUAUAGAUGCAGCUCAGAUUAAUCCGCUCUCAUUUAGAGAAUGAUGUUGCAGCCUAUGUAGAGUGUAGACAGAGAGUUGCUUGCAUUGGUCCCAGGCAGGUGCUUACUACUCAUGUCUACCCCUGUUUAUUGGUACCCAUCAUACUCUGGACCAAAUAUAUGGCGAGCUGAUCCUCUGCCUGAGCUUGAAAUAGAUAUGACUAGGCGAACUAUCCUGGCAUUGAAAAUCUACCUGCAAGAUUUCACAUCUUUAUUCGCACUGCAUUAAAAGUUGUCUUGGUAUUCUGUCUUGUAAAUCGUUUAAAACUCUUGGAAAGCUAAUGUUGGAGGUCACUUUAACUUAGUAUGGUUCUGUGAAGAAAUACAAAUUUAUAGGUAACUGUGUUACGAAUGACCCAGUAGUGAAACUCAAUGCAACAAUGUAUCUACAUGAUUCUGGGUACAUUCGAAACUAUUUAAAUGCAUUCAUGCACAAACAACUUCCAUUUUUUGUAUAUAUAAGAACUAGAUGGCAGCUCCAGGUCUGUAGUUUCCAAGGCACACAUACAAUAUGUUUGCUAGAUGUGAACUGAUAGGUUCUGAUCAUGCCUGAUAGUUGGUUCUGUAAAAUGCAAAUGUUUUCUCCAUGUGCAUUACCUGAUGUCUAUCUUGAUGAGCAAUAAAUAAGCCAAAGUAUGUACAUCCUAGAUUUUACACUUCACUGUUUAAAUGUGAGCUUACUCUACUCUUCCUCCAUUGCAUCUAGAUAUACAAUUUCAUUUUUGAUAUAAGAUUGUAAUUGGGCAGCGUUAAUUAUUUCUGCGGUCCAUGCUAUGUGGAACCUUGCUUCAUUGCUUUACUGUCUCUUUUCUAGAGAUUGGUCAUGUUAUUUUUGUUUACUAAACAAAGUCGCCACUGCUAUUUGUAAGAUGUUUCAGUGUUAUUUU